AACUUUUGACGGUGGAUCUCUUGGCUCACGCAUCGAUGAAGAACGCAGGCAGCUGCGAUAAGUAGUGUGAAUUGCAGAAUUCAGUGAAUCAUCGAAUCUUUGAACGCAAAUGGCGCUCUUGGGUUCUCCCAGGAGCAUGUCUGUCUGAGUGUCGGAU
rnacentral:rRNA from 1 species